rnacentral:RNase_P_RNA from 1 species
AGAGUAGGCGAGAUGGUUGCGAGUUGCGAUGCAAUUCGAGGAAAGUCCGGGCUUCCGAAAGACCAAACUUGCUGGGUAACGCCCAGUGCGAGCGAUCGUGAGGAUAGUGCCACAGAAACAUACCGCCGAUGGAAGAAAGGCUGGGGGGCGAGGGCUAGGCUAGGGAAAACCCUUUCGCCUCUCACCUUAUGCCUCUCGCCUCUUCACAGGUAAGGGUGCAAGGGUGCGGUAAGAGCGCACCAGCAGCAUUGAGAAGUGCUGGCUAGGUAAACCCCGGUUGGAUGCAAGGCAGUAGGAGCUAGGGUUGGUCUUUUUCCCGCUCCGGCAGUGAUGCAAUGCAUCUUUGCGAGUCCGCUAGAGGCGUUUGGCAACAACCGCCGUAGACAGAUAACCGUCCCCUUUAGAGGUGAACAGAACCCGGCUUAUGUCCCGCUCUUUCC